AAGAGGAUGAAGACGUACCACUAGAGCCAGAAUUGGUGGAACCAAUAACGGAUAAUGUAGUAAUUGAUCAAUUGGGUGUAUCAGAUAAAUAGAAAUUUUGGAGAAGUUUUUUUAGUUAUGUAUCGGUUCUAUGUUUGCGAGGAUGCUGCACAAAUGGGAGUGGGGCUAUGUAGAAUAAGUAGUUAUUUGCUGAAUUGUAGAUACUUAGUUUAUAGUGUAAACAGGGAUAGAUGACUGUUGAAAAGGUAGUUCAGUAGGUAAAAUAGAUGAAUAGUUAGGAAAAGCAGUUUUCAUUAGAAAUGUAGCAGUUGGUAUCUCGUGGUAGCAUAAGGAGGAUGGGAGAGAGGAAGUAAGGGCUAGACUGUGAUAGUGUGAGCCGGGGUAAGCUUGGUGCUACCUCUUUUCUUUUGUUUGUUAUUUUCUUUGAAUAAGAAGAUUAAGAGUUUCUGAAUAUUGUAAAAGUGAAUUAUGGAAUGGAAGUAUGAUUGUUAUUAAAUGGAAAGAAGAAAGAUUGAAUGCUGAAAUCUGAUUGUAGUUCAGUAGAGAGAAUGAGUCUGUGUUUGUGUGAAACACUGUAAUGUGAAGGCAGUUAAUGGUGAAGAACUUCAGAGUUUGGAUUAUAGUAUGAUUAUGUCCUGUCAUUUCGGAUAGUGCGGGAUUACACGUUAUUGUUAUCAGUGAUGGUGGAGUAUUAUUAGGAAGUGGAAAGCAUUGUAGUGUUUCUUGGAUAUUUUAAGUAGUGCGGAAUACAGUUAAUUGUGUGACCCUAACGUGUAAGCUCAUGCGAUAUUCUUUUC
rnacentral:lncRNA from 1 species